rnacentral:rRNA from 1 species
ACGUAGGAGGCAAACGUUAUCCGGAUUUACUGGGCGUAAAGCGCGUGUAGGUGGUUCUGUAAGUAGGGCGUGAAAGCUCCUGGCUCAACUGGGAGAGGCCGUUCUAAACUGCAGAGCUAGAGGAUGGUAGAGGGAGGCGGAAUUCCGGGUGUAGCGGUGGAAUGCUCAGAUAUCCGGAGGAACACCGGUGGCGAAGGCGGCCUGCUGGACCGUUACUGACGCUCAGGCGCGAAAGCGAGGGUAGCAAACGG